UACAGAGGGUGCGAGCGUUAAUCGGAAUUACUGGGCGUAAAGCGCACGUAGGCGGCUUGGUAUGUCGGGUGUGAAAUCCCCGGGCUCAACCUGGGAACUGCAUCCGAAACUGCCUUGCUAGAGUAUGGGAGAGGGAAGUGGAAUUUCCGGUGCAGCGGUGAAAUGCGUAGAUAUCGGAAGGAACAUCAGUGGCGAAGGCGACUUCCUGGACCAAUACUGACGCUCAGGUGCGAAAGCGUGGGGAGCAAACAGG
rnacentral:rRNA from 1 species